rnacentral:rRNA from 1 species
GAUGAACGCUGGCGGCGUGCCUAAUACAUGCAAGUCGAGCGAAGCGGGGACGGGUGAGUAAAACGUGGAUAACCUCCUAUAAGACUGGGAUAACUUCGGGAAACCGGAGCUAACCCGGAUACUUAUCGAUGGAUCCUCGCUGCAUUAGCUAGUUGGUAAGGUAACGGCUUACCAAGGCAACGAUGCAUAGCCGACCUGAGAGGGUGAUCGGCCACACUGGAACUGAGACACGGUCCAGACUCCUACGGGAGGCAGCAGUAGGGAAUAUUCCACAAUGGGCGAAAGCCUGACGGAGCAACGCCGCGUGAGUGAAGAAGGCCUUCGGAUCGUAAAGCACUUUUAGUAGGGAAGCGGUACCUAAAGAGAAAGCCACGGCUAACUACGUGCCAGCAGCCGCGGUAAUUC